ACCUCGAAGAUCAUUACCUAGAGUUGUAGGCUUUGCCUGCUAUCUCUUACCCAUGUCUUUUGAGUACCUUCGUUUCCUCGGCGGGUCCGCCCGCCGAUUGGACAAAUUUAAACCCUUUGCAGUUGCAAUCAGCGUCUGAAAAAACAUAAUAGUUACAACUUUCAACAACGGAUCUCUUGGUUCUGGCAUCGAUGAAGAACGCAGCGAAAUGCGAUAAGUAGUGUGAAUUGCAGAAUUCAGUGAAUCAUCGAAUCUUUGAACGCACAUUGCGCCCCUUGGUAUUCCAUGGGGCAUGCCUGUUCGAGCGUCAUUUGUACCUUCAAGCUCUGCUUGGUGUUGGGUGUUUGUCUCGCCUCUGCGUGUAGACUCGCCUUAAAACAAUUGGCAGCCGGCGUAUUGAUUUCGGAGCGCAGUACAUCUCGCGCUUUGCACUCAUAACGACGACGUCCAAAAAGUACAUUUUUACACUCUUGACCUCGGAUCAGGUAGGGAU
rnacentral:rRNA from 1 species